rnacentral:lncRNA from 1 species
UUCUUCUAAUCUUCUCCUCUUCUUCCUUCUCAAUCUCUUGUUUCUUUCAUCAGAGACCACACAAUGUGAAGUCUCUUUCCUCUUUCCUUCCACCAUCAUUUACAUCCACUAAGACAUCAGCUCAUCCACUUUCUUUGGUUAUACUUUCAUCAUACACCUUCUUUUAUUCUCAUCCAUGAGACUCCAUUCUCCCUUCCACUAAACCUCCACUUCCCAUCUACUAUAAAACCCCUCUCAUCCUUCUUUGGAGAGAGAGCUUUCUUUGUUUAUAAAACUUCUUAAGAAGUUUUGCUUUUUGAGAAGAAGCUUUCCUUCAUUUAUCUCUUCCACCAUAACAUCUUCAUCACUUCUCCUCUUCCAUACUCUUCUCCAUUACUUCUCCACUCAUCAUUCUUCCUUCAAACAAUUUCAUUCCAUCUCCUUCCAUCAUUUCCUCUACAGAUAUCCCAUAAGCUCUGUCUUAGCUCUGUUAACCCAUGUGAGUUUUUUGUAAAUAAGAAUAUUUAUGGUAUGAUUAGUUAUGUAUUAGCAUAUAUUAGCACUCGUGAUUUGUAUUUAAGUUUGUUUAAGCUUUAUUAGUAUACG